rnacentral:rRNA from 1 species
AUUGAACGCUGGCGGCAUGCCUUACACAUGCAAGUCGAACGGUAACAGGCCGCAAGGUGCUGACGAGUGGCGAACGGGUGAGUAAUGCAUCGGAACGUGCCCAGUCGUGGGGGAUAACUGCUCGAAAGAGCAGCUAAUACCGCAUACGACCUGAGGGUGAAAGCGGGGGACCGUAAGGCCUCGCGCGAUUGGAGCGGCCGAUGUCAGAUUAGCUAGUUGGUGGGGUAAAGGCCUACCAAGGCAACGAUCUGUAGUUGGUCUGAGAGGACGACCAGCCACACUGGGACUGAGACACGGCCCAGACUCCUACGGGAGUCAGCAGUGGGGAAUUUUGGACAAUGGGCGCAAGCCUGAUCCAGCAAUGCCGCGUGCAGGAAGAAGGCCUUCGGGUUGUAAACUGCUUUUGUCAGGGAAGAAAUCUUCUGGGCUAAUACCCCGGGAGGAUGACGGUACCAGCAGAAUAAGCACCGGCUAACUCUGUGCCAGCCGCCGCCGUAAGAC